rnacentral:misc_RNA from 1 species
GCAUGAUCUCUCCCACUGCGCUGGGUCACUUGUCGUCCCCCCUUCUUUCAUAUUCCUUUUCCAUCCCCUCUCUCUCCCUUCAUCUAAAUCCCAUCCCACCCCUCGUCCCCACGAAACCAACAGAGAAGACCUUGCUCGUAAAAAGCGCUCGGCGGCCACAAGCACGCCAGCACGCAUGAAGCCUCGUUGGGGAUUUUGUACGUGAACGCAGAGCAUAACAUCGUUUAUACACAGAGUCCUGCGGGUCAGAAACAGCACAGCGAGGCAGUACGGUGGGCGACUCUUGGGACGUGGUUGAAAAUCCGCCUUUUGUAUAGCUUGUUUUGUUUUUGUUCGCUGUCGUCGUCGCGUCUUCCACUGCGCGUGCGUGGGUGGAGGGCGGUGUGUGUGUGUGUGUGUGUGUGUGCGCCCUCGGCUCAUCAUUGGCAUUAGCCUCCUCUAUCCGCACACCCAUAUUCCUUUCAUCGCCCACGCCAAACCCUACACGCACGCUUUCCUAUUUCUUUGGUAUUCGUUUUCUCGGCGUGCUCGGUACCUCGAGGCAUUUCGAGUACUUUCAUACACGCCACCCUCCUGCAUGUCAGCGGCAAAGGGCAGGCGAGGGGGGGCAGAUAUCCACGCAGAACCCACGACGCCGGCUUUCACCGCUCCCCUCCCACCUUGAUCAUCUUCUUUCCCUUGUCAUUGCCUGCCUGUGCAAGUCUGAGCGGUUGCUGCGUGCCCGCACAAGGAGACGAGGAUAGGAAGGUGGAGCCGACGCCGGUGUGGAUGUGAGGCUAACGAAAGAAGGAACAAGAAGAUCCGCACCUCCGCACGCACAAGCAUCCAUCCGCUAUCGCUGUGCGUGUGUGAGAAACCCCAGCACGUCGAAGUGGUGGCGGCAACACCAACGACAACCGAAGCCCCGCCACAAUUCUCACGCGCAUCGCCGAACUGAGGCGAGCAGAUACCCAUUGCAGGACAAGGACGGGGGUGGGGGGCAGGCUUGAAACUAUAAUGGCGCUGGCAUUCGAUGGCCGUCGUGCCAGAUGGCGACGAAACGGUCGAUUACUGUCGCUGCUCCUCGCAUGCCUAUGCGCUGCACUUGCGGUAGUGGCACCGGCGUGUGUAGCCAUAACUUUCUCCAUGGCCAACGUGCAGCAGCCGUCAGUAUACCAAACGAUUCAGAUCACCUUGGAGUCGAACCCCUUAGCGCAGGACCCGAGCAUCACCACCAGCGACCUCGUUUUCUUUGUUCCAUCGGACGAUAUCAAAAAAUGCGUGUACAGCAGCACCCCGACAGAGAGCACCCCCGGCUACCACGCCGUCAAGGCCACCGGCAGCGGCGGCUUUACUGGCCAGCUCAUCCUCGCUGUGACUUCGACGGAGUUCACCACAGGGACGACGUACUACCCGUGCUACCUCUCGAGGUCAGAAAAGUCAGCGACGAUUGUGCGGCGCGGCUAUGUGUCCCCAGGCUCGGACGACACGCUGGCGGUGUUGCCCCCCAUCUACACAAGCUUUAGCAUGAGCCCCACGAGCGCCAACGGUGGCGAAGGACCUGUGAGCCUUACCAUCGUGCAGGCAGAGCACAGCGAUCGCCCGAUCAACCAGGGCCUGUCGGGAGGCCACACCAUCCUGCUUGUGCCAUGCGGGAGCAUCUCCGUGAGCGGCAGCACUGUGGAGAGCAACUGCGACGAUCUGAACACGCUGGUGACGCCGUGCGCCACGGUAGGUGCGGCCAGCGAAACCCCGACCGGCGUCGUCGCCCUCUCCGGCUUGCAAGGCCAGUCCACCGGGAAGGUGUCCGGCAACUUCACAGUGCCCUACAAACCCAACACGAGCGGCUACUACAUGUGCGUCCCGUACUGCUAUAGUGCCUCUGCCGGCUGCGGCGAGUCAACGACGGCCAUGUCCUUCACAGUCGUGGCAUCCGCUUCAGCUGAAAGCAGCAGCUACGUACUCACCUUCGGCGGCGCUAAUCCGGGCGUGUACAGCAGGACGCCGGUGCUUCCGCAGGCGCGUGAGAACGGUCUCAUGUACUUCACCGGCGCCGGUCUGAGCGCGAGUGACGCCGUCAAAGUUAUUCGCGCCCACGACAUGUGCACUUCCACCACGGCAGCGCUGCUCCCCAACCUCGAGGUCGGGGCGCUGCAGCUGGCGGCGGAAACCGACGGCAUGACCACGGCGCAGGUUCUGUUUGUAGCGCCGGACCUUGUGGCGACGCAGGUGGUGGGACGCGUCUGCUACCAGCGCGCCGCCAGCGGUCUGUGGUCUACCGCAUACCUCUCCGCCUUGAAUGCGGAGGCGGAUUUUACCAUCGACAUUCUGCAGCCAACCGAAUUCGAACUCACGAGCUCGAGCACGAGCCCCGCCGUCGGCGAGACUCUGACUCUGGCCUUUCGAGGAGACGGUCUCGACGGGUCCGUAGACAAGGCUUACCUCUCCUCCAGCAGCGACGGCAACCCGUGCAACCGAGACGCAAGUGGAAGCUCAUCGAGCAGCAGCAGCAGCAGCAGUGGCUCAGAGACGUACAAGCGUAACAUGUACUUUACGUGCAAGAUGAGCGGAAGCAGCACCACGACCUCCACGUGUACUGUCAUGGUCGAUCCCGAGGACACGAAUGCGGCCAUGACUCUGAGUGUGUGCUACCUGAAGGGUGGCAGCAGUGGGCAGACGAACUUCGCGCAGGUCCACGGCACUGUGGCACUCCAGGCACGAAACCCGACCUAUGCCGUCACUCCAUACCCCAUGUUUGCCGGCCAAUCGGUGAAGUUGGCCUUCACGGGCGUGAGCCUGCAUGCGGAUGACGAGGUGCGGCUGAUCGCGCCGAGCGGGACGUGCGAUGACAGCAGCUCCAUCUUGGCCACCGCCACCAUCCACUCCGUAGAGGAAAUCGUCCAGAAUGUGGUGUACCAGUACACCCUGGUCGGCUCCGCCGAGACGUGCAUCAUGGUCUGCUACCGUCAUUUGGGGUCAGACAUGUGGGUCGUGGCGCGGGGCGCCGACGGAAGGCCUGCCGUGUCGUCGGUCUGUGCAGCGUCUAACAUUUACAUCUCAGCCUUUCCGGUGCGGUACCGCAUCACAAACCUGGGCACAGGCGGCAGCGACGGCUCCACUGCCGGUACUCUCCUCACUGUUGGCGAGACCGCGACAGUGCGCUUCACUAUCACAAGUGCCCAGAGGUUCUCCUCCACCACUACGCCGACCACCAUAAAGGUGGUGCAGGCGGCAGAUACAUGCGUGACAACGCCCUGCGGCACGGAGAACGUUGCCGCGUGCGCCAGAGCACAGCGUGCUGCCGAUUACACCGACUCCAUUACGAAAACGAGCAGCGCUGCAUUCACUGCCUCCAUCCAGGUGAAUGGGGCAGACGUAAACUACAUUGUGUGUGUGGAAACCUCUAGUAGCUCGGGGGCGUACGUGCCGGUCCUGCCCACCUCAGAGACGUCGUCGACCAGCACUGCUUUCGGCUUCAUCACAACGCAACAGAACCCAACGCUUGUGUCGCACACCCCGAACACGUGGCGAGUGGCCAUGAGCACGCUUUACACAACCUUCAGGGGGUCAAACCUGGACGCGAAGACGAACGUGGUGUACGCCGUCGCGGCCAGCGCGCUACUGGCCUUCUACACGGCAAGCGAAGGCACCGUAGUGGCAGUGUGCCCGCCAGUGCCGCAGACGCCGGAGACUGUGCUUGUGUCCGCCAUGGUCACAAACAGCAGCAGCAGCAGUAACUUAGCGAUGGUGACGUACACCCGGGCAGACCGUCUGCACGACGGCCAAUACGUGUACCUAUGCUACGCAUGGUCGGCUGGCAGCGGUGACUCGCACAUCACGAUGGCGGGCAGGGUGAGCGUGGCAGCAGCGAUCCCGUCCUCCUCCGCAUGGCAGGCGCCCACAGAAACGAGCAACUUGCGCGCCGGGCAGCCGAUUCAACUCAGCUUCACCAGCAACCUCACAAGCCUGUCCGCCAUGAAGGACGCCGUCUACUUCUACAGCUAUGUUCAGUCAUCGAAUCCGAACCCGAACUGCUACUGUGACCCGACGGCGUGUGCGACCGGGAUGCGGAUCGCCUACACUUCCAAUAUCACCCUCACCUCGGCGACGACGAGCAUAAAGGACGACACCACGAUCUACACCGCUCCGCUCGGCUUCAGCAACUACGACUACGGUGCCAUCUACAUCAUCUGCUACGCCACCUUUGGGCAGGCUGCCGACACCUACAUGGGCCGUGUAACGGUGGACCUGGCGAACCCGACGUACUACACCGUCUCCAGUGUGGCCGCACCUUUAAACCGCGUCGGCGCGCCGAUCACCAUUACGGCGAUUCGCCGCUGCAUGACGGCGGCGUGUGCGCUGACGCUGCAGGACUCACUGCGCUUGAUUCCGAGCAGCGUGCAGUGCUCUCAGCUCUCGUCCGACAGCUCCAGCGGCAGCUCUUCAGCUGCGGAGGAGGCGUCUGUGCAGGCCAUUCGCGACCCCGUCCUGAACCCUGGCGCGGUCUCACUUACGCGCACCUUUGUUGUUGACGCCGAGGGAACUUACCGCGUGUGCUACCGCCUCGCGAGCGGGACCACCUACAGCGAUGUCGUCUUCUCGACCAGCUACACGCGCUCUUUGCUGACGGCUGUGACGGCGAAUCCGCAGAAGGCCACGCCGGUGCCAAGCGUCCCCUCCGCCGGGCAGUUUGUCAUCAUGAAUCUCAGCUGCACGAUGGUGUCACUCUGCAGCACGUGUACGAUGCUGCGGCUGGUGCCGGGGGUGCGCGCGAGCUGCUGGGAAAAGGUGUCAGGGACCUACAGCAGCGACUCGUGUCUGACGACCACCUCUGUGCAGUACCCAGACCUGUACUUAGUGGAGGGCAGCUAUACGGUGUGCUACGGUAGCAACUACACGACGUCGCAUCGCGUUCCGGGCACCCUUACGGUAACCUCCGCGAACCCGUCGAGCUACACCCCGACAGAGUCGAGCGGGUACGCCGUGUACACAAAUCAAGCCACGGACUACACGCUGGGCAUCACCGGCACGGGGCUGGCCACCGCCGACACCGCAUUUCUGCUGCCGGACAUGGGGUACACCUGCCACGACCUCCGCACUGGUGAGGUGCAGAGCCAAGGGAAGCUCGCAAGCUGGCUCCAGCCGAGUGUGAAGCCGUAUCCGCUGCAGCUGACCUCGACCGGGGUGUCGUGGGUGGUGUCGAAUCAAAGUAAGCGCUUCGGCGGCGGCUUGCUUAACGACGCAGACCUGUGCCCGGGUAACGGGGCGCCGUGCUUGCUGAAGUUGUGCUACAUGCGCUCCGGUACUUCCUGGGCGCCCGUCACUCUGCUGGCCUCCUCCUCCUCCUCGUCGACGUCGUCGUCGUUGUCGUCAACGCCGUCUGGGAUCGAGCUGUUUGCCUCGAACCCGUCCUCGGUGGAGCUGGAUCGCUACCCGCUGGCGAUCGGCAUGUAUGUGAUGGCGACGGUGCAGGGCGCUGGUCUUUUGAGCACGGACAUGGUCACCAUCAACGCAGGCGACUGCAGCGGCGCCGCUGCGACCGUCUCCGUGGCGGGCGCCGUAUACGUGAACGACGCGGGGAAGCAGUGGUAUGGUGUGCUGCGCGUGAAGAGUGCCGCGAGCAGCUACGCUGUGUGCUACUGGCGCUCCGGGUCGGCGACCGAGGUGGCGGCCAUCACCUUCGCCGAUGCGACGGAUGUGUCGACGAUACUGAUACUCAGCACGCCGCUUUAUUACGUCCUGAGUCCGUCCAACUUUACUUCGAUGCAUACACCGCUGACAAGGUACGAGGAGCUCAUCGUCAGCGCCAGCUUCAUGGACCAGGGUACCUUAGGGACAGCGCUGAGCUACGUGCAGCUCAUCACGGCUGACGCGAGCGUCUCCGAGUGCAACUACGGGCCCUUUCAGUCGGUGGCGAGCGGCGUCACGCCGUUCCCGGUUUCUCUGACGCUCUCAUCUGUGCCAGGCAGCGGUGCCUCCGGUUCACUGACCCUGUACCAGGGUCGUCUCACCGUCGAGACAGGGGCGUAUGCCCUGUGCAUGAACACAACGAUUGGGUUGUUCCGCGUCUUCAAGGCUCCGCCCAGCGCUGCGUAUACCACGGAGGGCAGCAGCGAGGUCUUGGUUUACGACGCCGUGCCCAUCGCAUACACCGCGGUCCCCAAAAGCGUGAUGUUGGGGCAAGUUGUGGCGCUGACGUUCUCCAGUAUGUCUGCGAGCAGCAGCGACAGCGAAAUAGAUCAGGCCCCGGCCAAGCUGGAGGCAGGUGACUCGGUGCAGAUUAUCGACGGCACGUUGUACGAGUGUGGUUUUCCGAACGCGACUGUGCUGGCGGCCGGCGUCGUGUCAGCGAGUGGAAGCAGCAUGGGCUCGACCACGGUCUCUCUCGCCCUCCCCAGCGCCUACAAGCUAGACGGCGUGGGAGUGUCGGCGGGGGGGAAGAACUAUACAGUUUGCUACCGGAAGCAGAAGAGCACCUUCGCCACAUCCCCGCGCAUCGGCAGCGCCGUCGACCGCAACUUUCGCAUCAUGGCGGAGGUGCCGACCAAGUGGACAACGCAGCCUCAGCAGGCCCAGGUGAACGCACCACUCAACAUCACCUUCUACGGGGACCUUGAAGAGGAUGACUUCCUGACAGCAGCCGAUGUGGCGUUUCUCGUGUCCGUGCCCGAUGGCGCUGAGCCGGACUUCAGCCUGUGCCAUGUGACGGCAGAUAGCAGCAGCAGCGGCAGCAGCAGUGCGAGUGCGGGCCGCAUCGUUAUCUCUCAAGGCGCCAUGACAAAGCCGGACAACGUCAACACGCAGUGGUCCAUUCCGGCCAACGUGCUUCUGGAAAGCACCUACGUCGUCUGCUACACAGCCAAGAAUAACGGGCAGCCGGUGUACGUCAGCUCGCCGGCGACGCUGGUCGUGUACCCGACGCAGUCGCCGAGUGGCGCCUACCUUGCCCGCAGUGCCACGUCUAUCGUGAACGACCUCACCGCGUUACAGGGCGAACGUGUGUUUCUGCUCUUCAACACGACCGUGGCGCUGGAUGUAGUGCUUGACAACGGCCAGAGCUCGAGCUCGACCCCGUCCCUCGAGAACUACGACGCGGUUCGCAUCACAGCGGACAGCGCCUGCAGUGCGCCGCUCGGUGCCGGCGUCAUUGACCCGAUUCCUACGGAUUUCGGUUACGCGCCCCCCGGCAUCGUGGAUGAGACUACCGGUCUUACGGUGCCGUACCUGAACCUGCGCAUCCGCGCCGAAGUGGGCAGCUACUACGUCUGUAUGCGCCGCCGCAAUCGUGAGAGCUGGCAGGCCUACUACGAGUUUGAGGUGGUGGGCGGGCUGUACGUGGGCCCGGCCGUGCUGAGCAUAUCGGCUGCCGCUGUUUUGACGUUUACGACGACGCCGACGACACCGCGGGCGUGGGUGCCGCACACGGAGGUGCAGGCAAACUACAACGCUGACUUCAGUAUGGCGAACGUGGUGCAGUUCUUCUUUGUGGCCUACACAGGUACCGGCAGCGUGACGGACAGCGACGAGAUCAACGGUGACUCCUGCUACCGCCCCGCCUCUUCGUCGGAGGCGGCGUCGGCCUCCGUGACACUUGUGAACCGCACGCUGCAGGUUUACCUCGUAGACCCUAUGUUCACGCAGCACAGCUUUGGUAUGGCGGGCACGUACCUGCUGUGCUACCAGAUCACGGGCCACAACAUCGCCUCCAUCUACCCGACUGCCUUGACAGUGGCCGACCCGAGCCCGACUGCCUACAUAGUGCCCAGCCUGCUCUCUGUUCAGCACGCCUUCACAAUGAGCAUCGUCGCGACGGACGCCAUCUUCGCCACCGGCGCCAGCAACGUCGCGCAGAUAUACACCGCGACUGACGCGACCGUGAUGCCGAACUGCACAGAGGCGAGUGUGCCGAGUGGUGGCACGACGCGCUUCACGAAGUUUACCCAGACGAACGCGUCUUACGCAAGUGUGGAGCCGACGCUCCUGGCGCCGGGCUACUACUUUCUGUGCUUCCUGACGGACGGCCAGAAGAAAGACUUCGUCGUUCCGAACGCUGCAGGCGGCUACGUCUUUUCAGUCGGACUGGUAGGCGCGCAGAAGUAUACGGUGACACCGUCGCCGGCCUACCUCGGUCAACUCCUGGAUAUCAAGAUUACGGGUAGCCAACUGAGCAGUAGCGACCACGUCAAGCUCUUGCGCGUCUCGCACGACGAACUGAGCAGCAGCGGCAGCACCACGAGCAGCGGAGGGAGCUACGUGGCCCAGUGCACACCAAACUCGGAGAACGCCGACGCCAGCGAGGCAGCCGGGGCAGCGGGCAGCACCGUGCAGAGCUCGAGCGGCACUGUGGCGCACUAUCACCCCCGUGUUAACGAGACUGGCACGUUCAUUCUGUGCUAUCAGAGCUCCUUGUUGAGCAACGCAUGGGUCUGGGUGAUGGACAUUCAUCAGUUCACCGUCGGCUUGGCGCACCCCACGCACUACAGCCUCUCCGUGGCAACGCCGUACGAGACCCAGGUGCUCCUGCUCUACAUCCACGACAGCGGCGACGACGGCAGUGGCACGGCAGGACGAUUGCAGGACACAGAUCAACUGAAGCUGGUGGAGCGCGGCUCAGGAGCGAACGGCUUUGAUUGCGCGGCGGGCGCCACCAACAGUAGCGUCAUUGGCCUGAUCAGCUACGUGAGUGCGCAGAGCAACAGCAGCGUGCACGUGUACCAGAUCUGCGGCUCCGCCGUGGCGAGCGUGACGGUCUGCUACGCGCUUUCAGGGGCAACGGCGGCGUCACCGGGCUGGGCGGAGGUGCCGCUUCAGUCCCCGCCGCCGACGUACAUCUUCGAGGGGGUGUCGAUCGAAGCGAACCCGUUUGUGGGGCCGCUGCGCAGCUCAAGCAGCAGCGCCUCGGGGACCGCUACCGGCUGGGUGGCACCGCGUCCGUACGAGCCUUUUUCGUUCUACUUCACAACGGAGGCAGCGGGGCUGGAGGCGCAGCGCGUGGCCUUCGCACAGUCACCGGUGACCUUGUGUGCCCUGGACGUGAGCUACGUGGCACCGCUGCUCUACCAGAAGGAUCCGGAGCAAGCGAGCGAGUUCACCGUGUCGCUGCCGUACGCGGGCAACUACGCCGUAUACAUCGGUCCUUACGCCGCCGUGACGGCGCCGAACAUUACGCAUGGCACGCCGCUCUUGGUGGGGCAGUGCGAUCCGUGCAACUUCACGCCGAGCUACGCACUGGUCGGCACGUACGUGCUGCUGUCCUUUCCCAGCAGUGUUGGCGACUCCCUCGGCGACGCAGACGAAGUGCGGCUCUUUCCGGUGUCCCAGGGGCUGAAAGGGCGACCGUGUGAGGCAACAACAGGGGCGUACGCCGGUGUCACGCUCACGCCCGACUCGGCGUUGAGCACGAGCAGCAUGACCGUCUUCAACGUGACCACCGGCGCGGAGGCGGAAGCGAAGUACCUGGGCGAGUAUUACGUGUGCUACCGCAAGGUGAGCGCGUCCUCCGCCAGCGCUGGCAGCUCGACAGCCACGUUUGCGGUCGUGUCCAAGAACGACGGCGCGGCCUCCAUCUUCUCCGUCUACCCGGCCGACCUCCUCACGGCAACGGUGUGCCCUGCUUCGUCGAUGUACGCGCUCGAGACGGCCGUGUUCAACGUGACGGCGCGCGACACGGCACUGUACCCGAACGUGGCCUUCAGUUCCUCGGAUGUGUUUGUCGUCGUGCCGUCUGAUGUGCUGAGCAGCACCGUCGGCGGAGGCUGCGGCAGCAUCACUGACGUGGACGCUCUCGUAGAAGCCUCUGGCGGUCGUGCGCAGCUGGCGAAGCUGGACACGUACGGCAACGGAUACUCGAACUGGUACCUCACCUUCGCGACGCAGAUGACUACGGUUUACUACAGCUGGUGCUUCAAGAUGCAAUACGACACACUCUUUCGCAACAUCUCAAGCUCGCUACAAACGGUGCUCAUGGAAAACCCCUACAAGGUGAUCACCACCCCGCCGGUCAUCCUGCCAACCUCGAGCCCGGUGCUGAUCGACAUCAAGGGCUCUGAGAUGCUGCCAACGGACCAGGUGUAUAUUGUUCCUGCCAAUCAGUCGUGUUCGGAGACAUGCAGCCUACCACUAAAGCCGACAGAGUGGCCCGACGUCGCGCACACCGCCCAGCACGUGAACUCGACGACGGCGCUGGUGACCUUUUCGAAGCCCAUCGACGUCACCGUCUCCCUCGGCGUGUGCUACCGCCGCACCGGCCGCUACCUAACGCGGUUGGCGAACAUCACCGUCAUGGAGUCGAACCCCACCUCCUACACGGUCAACUUCGUGCCGCGCGUCGGAACGCGGCCGACGUUGGUGUUCACUGGCGAGGACCUGACAGGCACAGACACGAUAAUGAUUGUGAAGCCCGGCGUCACCUGCCUUGAGGGCAACGCCGUCGCCACCGGCACAUUUGUGUCAGUCAGCGAAGACGCAACGACGAGUCAGUUCCUUCUUGCGCUGGUCGGCAAUGCAGUGCUUGCGCAGAACUACAUCGUGUGCUACGAAGUAUCGACCGUCGGCGCCUAUGUGGAGGUGUCGCCUGUGCUGCAGGUGCUGGAGGGCGGUCCGUCGAGCGUCCUGUCAAGCAACACCCCGAUGCGUGGCCGUGCGACUGUGCUGACAGUGGCGGACCCGCAGGUAGGGGACGAGAUGUACAUUGCGUGCGUCGGAUGCAGCUGCUUCGACGAGGUUGAGGCUGCCGUGCCGUACGGCAGUGUGCGCGCGACGGCGCACGUCCUGGAGGGCAGCACCUCGAGCGCCUCCGACGUCGUCUCCAUCUCGCUGCGCGUCGGCUUCAACGAUACGAAGAGCUACCCGGUUUGCUACCGCCGCAGUGACAGCGGAUACGCGCAGAUUGGCGGCACCGCCUACUUCGUCACCCCGGUGCCGAACUCGCCGAGCGCGGUGGCGCAGCUUCCCGCCUUAGCGCAGUACCAAGGCCAACGACUGUACUACAACUUUUCAGACUACACCGCCGCCGUGCCGCUCGGUAGCGGCGACCUUGUCAUGCUGGUGCAGGCAGCUCGCACCUGCUGGGACAACGUGGAGAUGAACGCGAGCGGUGUGGUGGUGCAAACAAGUGAGCUGACGGGCACUGUCGAGUCCCUCAGCAUUGGCAGAUGGGAAGCGCACGUGCCCUCUCUGGGGCCCGAUGUGCCAUCUAACGCACCCGCGCUGUUCCCGCUCUCCUACCUGCUGUGUUACCGCGAGGUCGCGCAGCUGGAGUACGUGAGCGUGCCGCUUGAGAUGCAGACGACGGUGAUAAAGGCGGCCGACCCGGCUACCUUCGAAACGAAUCCGAAGACCGUGGAGAAGGGUAUGUUGGAUGUGAACAUGAUGUUUAGCUACACCGACACAGGGAAGGAGGGCGACGAGGCGUACGUGGUGCAGUUCACGAGCCUCACGAACACGGUAUGCGACGACGCCAGGUCCACGCUCGUCUCAGCGCGCGGAAGAGCGCACCCGGUGUACAUACUGAACAUGUCUGGCGGUGCCGUUGUGGGCAACGACAACACGGCCGUGUGCUACACCCGCGCCGGCGCAACAGUGGCCGAGGUGCCGCAGCUGCUUACAGUGGCCGAGAGCAAUCCAAGUGGUUACCUGACGAACGUGACGACUGGGUCGGUGGCGCGCGGGCGGCAGUACAUCGAGUUCGUCAUCGUCGGCUCCGGCCUGAACGUUAUGAGUGACGAAGUCGUUUUCACCGACGUGCCGUGUGCGAUGGCGCCGCGCCCGUUCAAAUCGAGCGGCCACCUCGCGCGCCUCGGCGACGCCGCCGCCAACGGCACGACGUACAGUGUUGUCACUCAGUUUGUUUCGCUGAUGAGCCCGAUCGACGUCUACGUGUGCUACCAGCAUAACGCCGUGUGGCGCGAGGUCGGCGCGGCGCUGACGCUGAACGCGCCGCAGCCCCUGACGGUGUUGGUGAUUUCUGCAGAUGGGACGCAGACAACGCCCCGCGCGGGGCAGCACCUGCACUUGCAGUUGAUCGAUGGCAUGCCGACGGUGCCGAUUGGUGCCGUGGUUCUAAGCGCAGAGACGACGGGGGAAGGAACGUGGUGCCACAACUUCACGGCUGCGAACGUGCAAGAGCCGGCGCUGGAUAUAUUGUCGGAGGCGAUACUGGACGUGUCGGUGUGGCAGGUGUCCGGGCACGCGCGGUUGUGUGUCCGCUAUGACGACGGCACGCCGUGGGCCGACGUGGCCACUAGCGUCGAUGCCACCAGCAUCUACAUUAACCCGGCAAACCCGUCCGCUAUGGACGUCUUUCCGAGUCCGCCGCGAGUCGGGCAGAGCGUCACGCUGACGUUCCACCUGUUGGUGCCGUCGAACGCAGGGGAUAUGGUGAAGAUCACGGCGCCGACUUACGAGGCGUGUGAGAUGGCCGCAAGCAUCAACGGCUUCCCCCCUGUCAUGCCCGUCACGGUGAAGGACAGCGCGACGACGACGCUCACGCUCGUCGACUCGACAGAUCCGCUGCUGUAUCGCAGCUUCAACGCUACUGGGACGUACCGACUGUGCUACUACAGCGCGGCAGAGCUGUCGUGGGGAGUGGUGGGUGGCACGCUCGCCGCCGGUUCCGUCACGGUGGAGGAGCUGGUGCCGCAGUCGUGGGUCAUCGCCUCUGGCCACACCGAGAUCGGGUACGAGUUCGCCCUAGCCUUCCACGACGAGCUCAGCAUUCUAAAGCCAAGUUCUGGCAAUGACCUUGUGUGGGCGGCGCCGUCCAGUGUGAGCUGCGGCGCGAACCCGUACAUGUGCAGAGGAUGCAUUAUUUUCGAGUGGAACGCGUCGCUGUCGAACUCCUCCACGGCCGUGACGGCCGCCAACGCCACGGUGAGUGUGGACUACAUGAACCUCUGCUACCGCCUCGCCGAGGCUACGGCAGCGCUGGUUGCUGGCUCGCUGAACAUUACGACAGGCCCCAUCCAGUGCGUGGAGGAGGACUCCUUCAUCUCAGGCCAACAGCAGCUGAUUACGUUCCGGCUGGAUGCCGGCACCGACGUCACGGACGACAGCUGGCGCCUCUCCUUCUACGCAACCACCGCGUUGCACUGCAACGAUCGCUACCUCGAAGGCUUUAUCCCGGGGUCAGCGCGGCUGCAGGAGGUGACGAGCACGUCGGCGACGUAUUUGGUCUUGUGGCCGGUCGGACUGGGUGUCACGACCAGAGAGUACACGAUCUGCUACACCCAUAACAAUCUGGUGGGUCCAGUGUGCACGUGCGGGCAGAUCGACGCGAACACCGGCGAGUGCUACAUCACUGGCUCACCAGGGUCGCCACAGAGCUUUACGCCGUCGCCGCAUCCGACCUACGUGGGGCAGUCGAUCACGCUCAACUUCACGGUGAACGCGUCCAUGACGGCCUACCCGCCCACUGCCAUCAAGUUUGUCACGUACGUGGACGAACUUACCGGCUGCGACGGCGCCCCGGCCUUCACGCCGGUCGGGGCCACCCUCACGAAGAUCAGCGCACUUCUGUACAUGUAUGUCUUCAAGCACAACUACACCCUCGGCACCGCCACGCUGCUGGUGUGCGCGCUUACAGACUUGUCGACCUCGUACGGCCGCGUUGCCUCGGUAGUCGUGCCCUCGUCGCCAACGACGAACAACACGCUGUGGAUUCGGCCCUACCUCGGCCUCACCACGUUCCCGUCCGAGGCGGACUAUUUGCGCUCGAUGCAGACGCUAAACCUGACCUUCACGAUGGCGAGCCGGCAAGAGGACGAUGUGGUGAGCAAGCACGACCGCAUCACCGUCGUCGGAGACCCGAACAACUGCAUCGAGUCCUACAUCAGCGCUCAGGACCCGUUGACGCUCAUGAGCAUGUUCUACCUUCCCGACACGGCCUUCCUGGCGCUGCCGGCGACGGUGCUGAGCGUCAGCGUGUCGCUGUUCCUCACCCGGUCCCUCGCAACCUUCGCUGCCAGCACAGCCAGUCAAGGCACGCACUACUUCUGCUACAAGUUGGGAGACGGUACGUGGGCGCCGAUUCUACCGAAGCUGACCAUACAAGAAGCGCUCAUCGGUAGUUGCUCCGUCACAGGCGCGCUGAGCCCUUCCAACGGCGACAACGGCGAGUCGAGCGGCUCGACGACAAACAAUGGAGGCUCGCUGCGUGCCAUGUACUACGCCCCGACCCAAAUCCUCGGCACGGCCCUGUUCGAGCGCCUGGCGUCGCCAUCGGCGGAUGCGGUGCGAGUCGUGCCGCAGAGUGAGUGGUGCACAAACGAUGCGGCGGCUGUCUUCACCAUUGCCGUGGCCUCGGGGUCGUCCUCUAGCCUGAGCAGCGGCAGCGGCAGCGUCGAAGCGGUGUUCUUCGCACCACUGCAGGGCGCGUACAAGGUGUGCUACCGCUUCGGCACAAGCACAAACUGGAGUCCAGCGUGCACCGAUCUAAGUGUGACGGACCCCAGCCCGACUGGGGCGACGACGGGGUGCUGGAAUGUGGGGCAGACGAUGAACAUGACGGCGACGCACGUGAUCCGCGACUACGUCUUUACGGCGUCGGAUCACUUGCGGUUGGUGCAAGGCGCGUUGCCGUGUCGCCACUCGAACGGCUCGCUGACGGUGUCCUCGGAGACGGUGACGGUAGGUGACGCGGUGCAGCCGGCAUAUGGCAUUCUGCUCUCUGAUGUGGUGGCGGGGCAGACGACCUACAUGAUGCCGCCCGCCUUCUUCCGCACUGGCACGAGAGACGUGCGGCUGUGCUACACCGACGCUUCGGGUAACCAGUUUACGGUUCCCUUGGACUUCGUUGGUGACCCAGGCAAGUCGCUCUUUCCUGUCCAGGCCCGCCAGCCGAGCAGCAUCGUCUUUCCGCAGCGUUACAUUCAGGUUGGGCAGCGCAUGUUCAUGAACUUCACCUCCGCCAGCUCUUCUGUGACGCCUCCGCUACACCCGUACGCCGCGCUGCCGCAGCUCUACACGCCGGGCCCCGCCUUCAACGGCACCUUUGACGGUGCGACACUGCUAGCAGUGUCGAGCAGCACCGCUUACAUCGAUGGCCGGUGCGCUGCUGCGCUGCGUGCCGGCACCCUCACCAACACCUCGUUCUUAGGUGUCUACGGCUCGGCGGCGCAGAGCGGAGAAAGCUACGUCCCGUACACCAUCGGUAACUACGACCCGACAGUGGCACAGCACUACAUUGCAUGCUACCAGCUCGCAACGUGCGGCGUGGUCGACAGCGGCGACCCGUUCCGGGUGCACAACGUGAACCCGUCCAGCGUCUACACAGACGUCUCGACGCCACGGCGGGGGCAGCUGAUCGAGGUGGUGUUUACGCGAGACACGGCGCCGUCCGCGGUCGCGCUUUCGCCUGGCAGCGAUCGCGGCAUCAAGCAGACCGAUCUUGCCUCCUGCUGGACCCUCACCGACAUCUCUGGACAACUGGUGCAAGGCACCUCAGACCUGACGCACUUCACGUCUAUCUUCUACGCCCAGGCGCCAGAACUCGCCUCGACGACAGCCACGCGUAGCUGCUACAAGCUGAGCGAGGGCAGCUGGUCAGAAGUGCCGAACGGCGUGACAAGCGUACUUGCUGCCAACCCAAAGAAUUUUGCGACUCAUCCAGCCUCGGCGCGGGUGAACCAGGUGAACUACAUCCAGUUCUACGGCACGGGCUUAGGCAGCAACGACCGGGUCAAACUCAUCACGCGCUCGCUGAACUGCAGCGAGGACUCGGUGCCGCCGUCGUCGCUCGCAGCCUACAAGGCGACCGAGCCAAACAGCGCCACCGCCGGCACUUCUGAGGGAUGGAAGGUGACGGAGGUGAGCAGCGACGGUUUGACGGCGAGGCUGAACUUCACGUCCAGCUCGACCGGCACGUUGAGCGUGUGCUACCGGCUUGAUGCAGAUACAGUGUGGACGCUGGUGUACGGCGACCUCAUCAUCUACGAGCGCAACCCGCCCGUCGUCACGCGCACGCCGGUCACUACGCUCGAGGGCGAACUCUUCACGCUGAACUUCACGGGGUCCACCGAGGGUAUCUCGGACCUUUCCUCUGAUGAUCGCGUGGUGCUGUACUACGGCUCAGCAGUCAACUGUGUCGCCCCGACAACGGAUGAGACGGCGCCGUCGGUCACCGCCUCCCCGUCGCGCACGGACAUGCUGCCACAGUCGAUCGCGUACCAACUGGACAUGGGCACGCGCGGCAACUACACCCUCUGCUACAAGGUCUCCGCCUCGAACGUGCCAGGUGGGUACGUGGUGGUUUGGGGCUACGAUGUCGUGGUGGUCGCGCCAAACCCGCAGAAUAUGACGCUGUACCCGGUCCGUGCGUCGAGCGUGCACCGGCCAAACGAACUGCUGACGCACGUGUUCGCUGGAUGGGCGCUUGCGGCGACGACUGAAAAGAUGGAUUCGGUGAAGCUAAUCGAGGCGAGUGCGAGCGGUAGUACCACCGACACGAUGUGUCAGAAGAACUCGGCGGCAGCGGCGAUCACGUACUACUCCCUCUACGCGAACGGCACGCAUGCAGAGCAGGUGUGGCGAGCGUCGCCCGCCGGCAUGCAUGUUCCGUUCUCGGUGUGCUACAAGCUGUACGGUGGGCAGUAUCACGUCAUUGGAGACACGCUCACCAUCACCGGGACGGCGAGCCCGAGCGGGGCCACGUCGGCGAAGCUCAGCGGUAGCAGUACAACGAUCUCAUCUGGCGAGUCCAUGUCGUGGACGCUGGUCGGUGCCGACGCGCAGUCCUGCGCCGAUAAUGAAGCCCUGAUCUUCUUCAGCGCCAACGGCUGCCACAACGCGCCCUACUACGUGAAUAUGUCGGCGAUUCUGUCGUCGAGCGCGUCGAUCGCGAUCACCUUCCCAGCUGGGGCGGUCGUCGUGUCGAACUGUAGCGGUAUGACGCAGCUGCGCGUGCCGUGGACGUACCCGUUUGAUGCCGGCUCGGUGAGCGCCGCGGCAUCGUCUCGGACGGCUCUCCUUUCCCUGUGCUACUGGAGCACUGGCAACGACGCCGUCUCGGUGCUGUCGAGCGACGCUAUCACCCUCAGCCAAGGUGUGCCGCCGCCGCUCGACAUGACGCUGUCCGUGACGGCCCAGGAGGUAUUCAGCUUCGACCUUUCCGUGUCGCCAGCGACAACAGACUGGGUCGUGCUGGUGGCAGACCCCUCAAGCUGCGUCGGCGUCAGCGCCCCUGCCGACGACGCGGACUUUACGGACCUGAACUUUAGUGAGACCACGGGCGUGGCCACCGUCACAGCAGCCGUUCCUGGCGCAGGGAUGUACUACGUGUGCUACUCACACCAGGUCGGGGUGUGUGGCGCAAGCACGGGGCGUGAGUGUGCGCGUGUGGUGGCGCAGGUGGAAGCAAGGGCUGCCAGCCCACAAAGGUGGAGCGGCCAGCCGACGCCGGUGUACGUGUCGAGCUCGUUGGUCAUCACGUUAGACUUUGCCAGUAACGGUGAUGCGUCAGCGCAAGGGACAACGGCGUCGGCGUGGCUGGCCGUCAUGGCAGCUGAGAAGCUGCCGCACACCAUGCGGGACGUGUGGGUAGCGUGCGUGCAAUCGCAGACGAUGAAGUCACUUCGGUACGGCUUGACGUACAGCAGCGCGAGUGGCAUGUGGAACACCGAUCACAUUCUGGUGCGAUCUGGACCGUACGCCCUGUGCUACACCGCGCAGAGCACAGUAGAGGCGGCCCUGCAUCUUUUCGGUCCAGUCAGCAACGCUGGCCCAGUGGUGCUGGCGAGCACCGUGGCCGGCGUCGAUCUGCCACCCUCAAUGGCAGUAACGAACGUAAACACGGUGGUGCUCACGGGCGGUGGCUUGUCAACGACGGACGUGGUGAUGGCAGUGGCACUCCCCUCCUCGAGCGAGUCAGGAUCGGCGUCAGCCGCGACGGAGGUGCCGAGCGACAUCUGUACAAACGAAGCCUACAAGCCUCGCGUGAACUCGACGAACCCGAGCCCGGCGAAGAGCACGGGCAUGACAUCGAUGCUGCGAGAGCUAGUCUUUACGACGACGGGCGACUACGUGCUGUGCUACACCGCGACCUACGGCCUCACAACGAGCGACAGCGACGCUAGCAGCGACAGUGAGUCCGUGACGGGGACCCCCGUUCUGAUCACCCCGAAAGCCUUCACGGUGUCGCCAAGCGUGAUCAGCAUGACUGUCACGAGUUUAGUCCUCGAGGUGGGUGUUGAGCUGCACAUUGUCUUCACCGGCAGCGGGCUGAUGGUGUCGGACAUGGCUGCACUGGCGUACGUGGGAAGCAUCGAGGGCUCGCCGACGGUGCCGACCGUGUGCCUCGGCACUAGUGUCAUCUACGAAAACAUGGUGUCCGUCAACGCAGACGGUACCAACGCCAACUACAAAACGACACCGGUGAAGCAGGGUGUCCACAUGGUGUGCUUCCGCAAGUCCUUGUCGACCACCCCCAUCCUCAUCCCGACCCGGCUGUACAUUGGGGUGCGGACAGCCGUACAAGCUGUCUUCACGGUGCAGCCAGGAGGAUGUACAGCCCUGCUGGUAUGCACAGUGCAGCCCACAAUCACGCUGCUCAACGCUUCGGGUUUGGCCACGUCGGCGCCGCACAGCUCUGUGAACAUGCUGCUGUAUCUCAGCGACGGCACCACUCCCGCGCCAGCCGGCCAACUGUCUGGUGGCACCGUCUACUCGCACGUGAACUUCACCAACUUCACGUUCUGGGCGCUGCGAGUGUCGACCGCAGGAAGCUACGUCAUGAAGGCGUCUGUGACGCUGCCGGGCGGGGACACGCUGGCGGCGACGUCGAGCGCGCUCAAGGUGGCCGGGGGCGGCGAGCCGGUCGUGGACGUGGCGGAAGUUUCGUGCCUUCCCGUAGGCAUCCUGGACCGCACGGUCGGGUCUACGACGGACACGGUUGACUGCCUAAUUACGGCCUUGACGAGUGAUGCGCCGAACAACUUUACGGUGUUGGUGAACGCUGGCAUGGUGAGUAUGGUGACGCGGAACGGCACCACGAGCAGCGGACUCUCGACGUACAACUUUACCGUCACCGCACCGGCAACGUCAUCGUCGGCGACGGGAAUCGUGAACUACAUGUCGAUUUUAGUCACACCCAUACCGCCAUACGAGACCUUGCCGGUGCAGAACUCUCCCCUGACGGUGCGGCUGGCAACGUCGCCGAGUGCGCUGACGGCGAUCGGCUGCAGCGCCGGUACAUCGCAGCUUCCGCUGUCGAACAUGGUGCGCGUCGGUGGGACGCUGAUGUGCUACGUGCAGGGCAUCGCGAAGAUUCAUGGCCAAGCACGCGAGAUUGUGGCGCGUCCGGAGGAUCUGAAAGUGAGCAACUACUACAACGGCGACGUGAGCACGAGCGCGGCGGUGAGCCUCGGCGCCUACCCGUUGGACGUCAACGGCCGCUACAACUUCACGGUGGCACCAACGACUGGCCUGAACAUUUCCGUCGCCGGCACCGUCUUUGCCAAGGAUGACGCCGACAGCCCAAGUAGCGGCGCCACGUCGGCCUGGGCGGCAAUGGCCAAUAGCCCACAGUCGUUUGUCCUGAUCGGCGUGCCAACCGCUGCUGCUUCAAGACUGAUGUGUACAUCAACGCGGACAGGGUCGAUGACGUGGUACACGCCGACUGAACCGUUGCAGUGCACGGCCACACUGGCGAACGCGCAAGGACCAGUGAACGGCCUGCAGAGCGAGUACAGUGUGCUGCUACCAGACGGAGGCAGCGUGUCUGGCUUUGACGAGUCGGCGUGGGGUGUGAGUCUUGUCUGGAAACUUGCUGCGCCGCCGCCGCCGCCGUCGUCAUCGUCGUCGUUAGUGAGCUCGAUGAAGUCGGUGCAGCAGCAGCAGCAGCAGGCGUAUGCGGCGCGUGCUGUGAUAGACACCCUCGCUGCUGCAGUGCGGCGGGGCUUUAGUGUGCAGGUUCGCUACACGCCAUCCAUCAAGGUCAUCGCCACGUAUGCAGGUGACUUGGUGUAUGUAACGAGUGUUGUCAAGACGGUACCAAGGCUGAAGCAGGGGGCGACGGUGAGUGUAACCUUCGCGGGCAUUGGACUUGUGACGAUGCACCGCUACACGCUCGGGGCCAUCUCCAACUGCUCCAGCGUGCUGUCUGAGGCCAGCUCGAUGGAGGGCGGUGCGGCGGGUCAGCUCGUCCUCACCUUCGAGGUGCCGAGCUCCGUCUUUAUCAUCUGCUUCUCCCCGCAAGACGCGCGCACAGCGCUACAGCCGCUGCUGGCGACGCAGUGGACGCCGGAGUCAGGCGACCCCUCAAGCAGUCGGUGGACGAGGGACGAUUUGGUGUUGCUGAUCGUUGGCGUCGUUGUCUUGUUCAUUCUUGUGGUGCUGCUGGUGAUUCUACUGUGGUGCAUCUUCUGCGGCCACGAAGAGGACAGCGAGGACAACAUCGUGGAUGAGGAGCACCUCAUCAUGCACCACGCGCCGGCGAGAAUGACCACCAUCGCAUGCAAGGCCGGUGGUAGCGGACAGAACGUUUACAUGCCGCCGCGCGCGAACAACCGGUAUGUUCUCCGCAUUUCCAAUGAGUCGCUGCCCGCUGCAUUGCCGUCACCAGUGCCGCUGCCCAUUGUGACCUCCUCCACGUCGCCGCCGCCGCCGCCGCCGCCGCAGCAGCAGCAGCAGCAACCUUCGCCGCCGGUCGCGCCGCCACAGCAGCAGCACCCGCAACAACAUCCGAGCAGUAACACGCAGAUCCGCAUCAACAUACACGACGGUGACGGUGCAGGCAAUGCCUCGCCGCGCGCGCCACGGUCGCAAGCCACCACCCCUGCCGCGGCGACGUCGGUGACCUACGCUGGUGGCAGUGACAGCGCCCCCCCACCGGCAACCAUGCGAAAGCGCCACCACCAUCGCUCUCGUCGCAGCAGCAGCGCGAGCAGCGACCACCGGCCGCACCAACAGCAUCGGUCGAACUUCAAGUACGCUGAUGUCGACCGCGCUGCGCCGCGGCCGCGGCCGCCCUCGGACUCGAGCUCCUUCACGGGAACGAGCGCGACAGAAAUUCGGCAAUCUGUGCCGCCGCUGCCGCCACCGCCUCUGUCGUCCGUCACAACGCCGAGCACCACUGUGCCAGCGCCGUCAGCAAACUCUGGGUUGGUCGAGAGCCCUCGUCAGGCAGUCAGCACGCCGACAGCAGACAGUGUGCCGAAGAACUUGCCGCCACUGCCGCCCCCACCGCCGCCGACCAUUUCACUGGCGUCGGCGAUGGCUGCACAGGCGCCCUCACCCGGCCCCUACGAGCACCUGCAUCACACCACGUCGGGGAUGACCGUCCCUGGCACCGUAGAUGCGUUCGGCACGGGCCUUGGUAGCUUGGGCCCCUGCCGCAGUGACAAUGGCGCCACAGAGGUGUUGGAGCCUAUCAUCGUGCCAGGGCAUACAUCCAAGCCAAUGGUGCGUUCCGCAUCGUCGCCGCGGUAGUCUUGAGGAAAAGGCCGAUGCAGCACUGAUGCUCCCGCGUCGGCCUGCUGAUAUGGCGUCGAGGGCCCUUCUGUUUUCUGGCUUGCGCGUCGGCGCCAAGCAUCCGUUGUUAUUUGCUGCUCGAUCUCCCUCACUCGUACACGCAUAGACGCGCAUCGUGUCGGCCGCGCCUCCUAUGCGUCGGAGGUUCACAUAGAGCGUAUAGAAAGCCGUGAGGUUGGGGAGCCUUCGUGGCUCACUGUGCCACAGGUGAGGCGCGUAGAGAGGGAAGGCGGUGAUGCGUGCUUGUGCGUCUGCCCAUACCACUCCCGGUGUCGUAGGCUCCGUUGCCGCGGCUGCUCACGUCGUCGGUGUCGUCUAGGCAGGGCGGAGAAGAGGUAAGAGAAAGAGGGAGGGAUGUGUACGCACCGCACGCGGCACACCAGUGUGCACACCUCCUCCUUGCUCGGUGGGUGCGCAGCGGCACGCGCCAUCUCUUUUCUUGCGCAGUGGCUCAUCCACCUCCUCGGUGAUGGUGAUGGUGAUGCGGUUUUCAUUUCGAUGUAUCGAUGUGCGUCCUCGUCUCCUCCUCUUCGUCUUGGAGAGGAGGUGGUGUGUGUGUGUGUGUGUAUUCUUUAUGGGCGGUGGCCCCUCUGCUUCUGCGUGUUUGCCGUUGUUUCACGAAGUGCCGCGAAGCACAAGGGUAGGGGAGCUGCGCCGAGGGAAGGACUGGCGGAGGAGCACGCGAGACGAGCCGCGGCUCCUCGAAGGCGCCACCGUGUCGCUUUCCGUUUUAUUCGUUGCGGUGUGUUGUGUGUUCCCUUUCAUAGACGAAUCCUGUGUGGCGCUGAUGUUAUCUUUUGCUGUUUGCGGUGGUGGGUGGGAAAGUGGUUCGAUCCCCACCCCACCCCGCGCAGACGGCACGGCACCCCUCCCCCUCCUCUCCCGACCCUCUGGUUAAUCUUUAAUUCUUCUGUUGCCUUCGCGUGUGUGUAUGUGAUGUCUCCCUCUCUUUCUCUGUGUGUGUUUAAGGGGGAGGGGUGUCAGCUCAUCUCCGUUCGCCUGAUGCCGCAUGCCAUGUGCCCUCAUUGCACGUGCGUCAUCCAGAGUUUCUUUUCCUUCCAUGUAUCUCCUACUUGUGGUGGUGGUGUGCGCCUGAGUUGACGGACGGGUCUCGAUUUCCUGUACCUGCGUGUGUGUGUGUGUGUGUGUGUUGGUGUGUAUUCCUUUCUCUCUGCGUGCGCUUGUCGGCACCAACGUAAAGGUGAUGUGCGCGCGCGUGUGUUGACCGACGCCGCACGCUCAUGCCUCAAAGAUGUUACCGAAAACAACAGACGCGAAGGAAACAAGCAAACGCGUCCCACCCCCACCCCGGGGAGUGUCAUCCGCCAUCAACCAAAGACGGGCGGCGCCGGGGGCGGGUGACGCGUCCCUGGCCACACGCCGUUCGAUACGCCUUGCCGCGCGUCUAGUUUGACGAAGGCGCUUCUCCCCACCCCCCCCAUCGCGCCACCCGGCGCGUGCGUGCAACCACUUCCGUGGGCACCGGCGUUGACGUCGCGGCACUCGUCGCCCACGCCGUCCUCGUCACUUGUAUGGACUUUUUGCGUCUGAGCCCUUAGCAGGCACGUACACACACACACACACAUACACGCAUACGUCUCUUGCCCUCCCCUUCCUCCCUCUUGUUUCCUUCAUCAUUUCAUUCUUGGCAAUGCACGCGCACAG